UCCUGGACUAUAAAUAGGGAUGGGGGGCUGGUUAUUUCAGUACCUCUUAGCUUAGCAACUCAUUAUCUUUUAGCUUAGAGGCUAGUCAUGUGCUUAAAGUGAGAGGAGAGAGGGAGAUUAGAGAGUGAUUACUCUUUUCUUUCUUCAUCUUUAGUGGGUGGAUGAAGGGAGGAGGCUAGUCCUCAUCUUGUAUAGAAGAUGUUCUCGUGAUUUAGCUUUGUUUGUUGUCUUAAAUCAUGAUAAAUCUUUGUUUCCCAAGCGUUUUUCUUUUUCCCUAUUUUCGGAGCUAUUUUUGGGGAAUUUUCGUUCAUCAUGUUUGAGCCCGAAUCUCGUGAGAUUGGUUGAAGGGAAUUGUUGCUAGGACCUUGAAGAGCAUCUUUGAUAUGAUCCCACUUCAAAUCCGUCACGAAUCCGGCUUGAUUUUGAGUUUUUCCUAAAUCGUGUUCUUGAGUUAGGGUUUCGGUUUUUCUCUAAAUCCGCGAUGAACACUUGAGCGUUUUGAGAUCUUUUUCGUGGAUCUAUUAGCCCUUGGGGUUGCGCAUCUAUGGCUCAAGUUUCAUCUCGAUUCGUGAAAUACUGAGGACGGAUUUUUCGUUUGAAGUUUGAAGCUAGUUGUUGGUGUUCUUGUGUUUUUUCCUUCUGUUCUUCUUGUGCCGAACGUCGGGAGCACGAGCACUCGCUCCGCACGUGAGGCACUGGCCAGCACAGCGCAGCAGGCCGUCCAGGCCAGGUGGGCCGUCAAGCAGCAGCCUAGCAGGAGCAGAGCAAGGCCUAGCAGGCCGGCCACCAGGUGCACAGCAGGCUCAGGCCAGCAGCGCUUCGCGGGCCAGGCUGGCAGCCCAGCAGGUGACAACACAGCAAACCUUGGCCAAGCGCGCAGCUAGCAGGCCGGUCAAGGGAGACAAGGAGCAGCAGGCCCAAUUUCUUCCACCAGAUAGCACUGGCGGCUCCUCCAAGCAAGCCACAGCCAGCAGCAAACGCUGACAAGAGCAAAGCUCCAAGCAAAGCAGCAGGCAACAAGAAACCUGCGAAGGCUGGCACUGGCACCAAGCAAGGGAGCAUCAUGUCAUUCUUCAAGAAGGUAUAAAGACUGCAGGGCUCCAAUCUUCAGAUGGGCUUGCUCAGCAGAUUGUCGUGUUUCCGCUGCACACUGGCAUUCAGCCGCUACUAAACUGGGCCCCCGGCCAGGCGACUGAAGUGGCUCCUCUACCUGAAUCUCGUCAUGUGCACACUGGGAGCAGGCGCCCGUUACUUAGUCGUAUCAUUUUGUUGUAGCAAGAGUAGUGUUGAUUGAAUCAAGCCGAGAGGACGUUUGGGAGUUCAGAGAUUGUCUUUCUGUAGAUGUACAUAUAAUUGUACCGACGCGACUCACGUUUGCACUUUGCA